GCACAGACAGACACCCAGCAUAGUUCAGGGCUAUUCUGGAUACCAAUAGACUCAAAGGUGGUUGCAAGACUGGGGUCCUGAGUCAAAGCAAAUGGAUCAACUUGCCCUAGGCUCAGCUAGGUGCCUAGUUGGCCUUCAAAUCUCCCGAUGGAUCAGACCUGGACAGACUCUUGGAAACCUGCUUUAAUCUUGCCUAGAACCCUGCUCACUUUUGUCAGCCACAAUAGUGAAAGGAAGUUUGUCAUGGCAUUUGACCCACGACAUUCAUCUCCAGCAGGGGGAUAGGGACAGGCCAUAAAAUAAGCCUUGUCUUCUUGCCCACUCAAAAUGCCUGGGACGUAUCAUUUAGCAAAACCAACUUUAGACUGUAUUUCACACUUCAAAUGUUGAUGCUCAUCUCUUCAUAAAAUCAUCAUUGGUUCUAAGAUGGUUUGAGAGCACUGCAUCUUUAUAAAGGAUGACUGUUUCCAAAACACUGCAUGUUCCAGAACAGCAUACUGUGUAGGGUUUUUUUUUUCCUUAAGAGCUCUGUGUUCAAUGUAAAAAAUUAUUUCAUGUGUAUUUUCUAUAGCACAUUGAAUGCUUCAUCAUUUGAAAAGAACCACAAUUAAUAUAAUAUGGCCUUCUCUAGGAAUAGCUUAGACUUUUUACAAAGUACUUCAGUUUUUUCCUAUGAAUGCCAGCUUUAUUACUCAUGUACCAUCUACAGACGUAAAACCCAACAGCCCCCUGCCCCAAGAAGGAAGUUGAAAAAACAUUAACGAAAAGAGCCUAUGCCAGGGAGUCCGGAAUCCUGUGACAUGCCAUCUCUGCGUCGGUACCCAGAAGAGAGUGGAAGACUCAUGAAGGCUUCCAAAGAUUCGGGGAGUCCAGAGUCAUUUUGAGAGGACUCUGGGGUUCUGCCUGGUAGUCCCUCCUGAUGUACAGUGGCGACAGCACAGUUUCCAAUUCUUGCGGGCCUUAGACAACCGCUUGAGCUUCAUCUCACGCCUUUUCCUGAAGAACCAAAUCCUGGUGUCUCCUUUUGUCAGUUUGAGUGCGUCAGCCUAGGCUUCCAGAGUCUCCUCUUUGGUGGCAGUCUUUCUCAAAGUGCUUUCUUAGCUCCUGGAACUGCUCAUAGGUGAACCCAGAGGAUUCAUCUCAGCAGGACAAACUUGGAGUUGUCGCUGAGAAUCCCGGUUACUUCUGUCUUGGCUGCAGCUCACUUGAGUUCUGUCCUUCAGUUUGAGGCUCUACUAUAGGAUUUUCCACUCUUUCAUGUUUUUAAACAGCUGAGUGCACUGCAGAAAAUUACUGUCUAAUAUAAGCCCAGAUCUUCACCUGAGUGGCCAUGGGAGCCAGGCAGAUCCGGCUUUGCAGCCCUGGCUAGGCCAGACCUUACUGUACAGCCAGGCUGGCCUUGAACUUGGAGUGAUCCUCCUUCCUCUGUCUGCUGAGUGUCACAGGCCUGGGCCACCACCUCCAACAAGUUCAUUUUAAAUGAUUAUAGGAGGUUUUAUUUACUGAAAUUUGUCCAUGUUAGCUGAUUUUUUUAAUGAGAAGCAAUAGCACCAGUUUAAUUUUCUCUCCCAUGGUUAUUGUUUUUUACCCUUUCUCUCUCUCUCUCUUUUUUUUAACUGCUAGCAGUUUCAAUGUGGUUUGUACUGGAAGUAUCAUAUAUUUCACGGAGGAGUCUUUAUUCCUCCUACAUAGAAAAAUCACAUUUUUAUCUUCUGCUUUUCAAUUUUAGUCUUUGAACCUUUUCAUUUUAAAGGUCUCCUCACUGCCCAGGCACUAAUGAAUCUUUUUAUGAUAGCACAAGGACACUUUAUUCCUAGAGAGCUGGUCCAGACUGGCUCAUUUACUCUUCCCUUUGUCAAGCACAGUCUCAUUUUAGGUCACUAUAGAGACCAACAUUAUCCAAGGGAGCUAUCAGUACCUCUGUGCUUCGGGUAGCAGGGUUUCCUACUGUGGAAAAUGGCAGAGAAUGUGAAGUACGUAACAGAUGAAGUAUCUUAAAAUAAUUUGCAAAUUGUAUCAAAGCAUGACAGCAAUCCUCAUUUCAAACAGCUUACUGAAUGUAGCAUCAGGCAACUUUAUUCAUCUAGGGUCAGGCUACUAUGAUUUUAAUUUCUGAGUAAAAGAUAAUUUUCCAGGAAACAGAGUUAUUACCAAUCUACUUUAAAGUUAUAUUCAAUUCUGUAAAGAAAAAAUUAGUUGCCUUUUAAAAAAAACACAUAAAUGCUUUCUGAGGCACAGAAGUAUACUAAGCUUUAAUAUGUUGUAUUUUAUUAUUUAUAACUCUUGAGAAUAUUAAUUCUCAAUGCAGAUGGAAAAACUAUUACACCUUGCAAGAAAAAGAAUGAUUAACUUAAAUCACAUUUUCCCCACAACUUGCUGUGGCUAACUUUCUGGUAUCCACAGCGAGCCCUAUGUCUAAGAUAACUGGGUUAGAUCUCCCAGUUUGAGAGAUAGCAUAUGUGGUUAGGAAUAGCUUCAGAUUAACCAGCAUUUAAUGGUGAUUACAGUUUCCACAUAGAAGCAUGCCAUUUGUAUGAUUUAUAAUAUAAGGACUUUCUUUGUGAAUAUUUCCAUGAAGUUUAUGUUGAUUGAUAAUAUUGUUCAUCUCACUGAACACUUU
rnacentral:lncRNA from 1 species